GAUGAACGCUAGCUACAGGCUUAACACAUGCAAGUCGAGGGGAAACGACAUCGAAAGCUUGCUUUUGAUGGGCGUCGACCGGCGCACGGGUGAGUAACGCGUAUCCAACCUGCCCAUCACUUGGGAAUAACCUUGCGAAAGUAAGACUAAUACCCAAUGAUAUCCCACGAAGGCAUCGGAAUGGGAUUAAAGAUUUAUCGGUGAUGGAUGGGGAUGCGUCUGAUUAGCUUGUUGGCGGGGUAACGGCCCACCAAGGCAACGAUCAGUAGGGGUUCUGAGAGGAAGGUCCCCCACAUUGGAACUGAGACCCGGUCCAAACUCCUACGGGAGGCAGCAGUGAGGAAUAUUGGUCAAUGGGCGAGAGCCUGAACCAGCCAAGUAGCGUGCAGGAAGACGGCCCUAUGGGUUGUAAACUGCUUUUAUAAGGGAAUAAAGUGGGUCACGUGUGACUUUUUGCAUGUACCUUAUGAAUAAGGACCGGCUAAUUCCGUG
rnacentral:rRNA from 1 species